rnacentral:rRNA from 1 species
UCUGGUUGAUCCUGCCAGUAGUCAUAUGCUUGUCUCAAAGAUUAAGCCAUGCAUGUCUAAGUAUAAAUAGUAUACAGUGAAACUGCGAAUGGCUCAUUAAAACAGUUAUAGUUUAUUUGAUAAUUGACAAUUACAUGGAUAACCGUGGUAAUUCUAGAGCUAAUACAUGCUUAAACGCCCGACUUUAUGGAAGGGUGGUAUUUAUUAGACUGAAGCCAAUAUUCCUUGUGUCUAUUGCGGUGAUUCAUAAUAACUGAUCGAAUCUCUUUUUGAGAUAAAUCAUUCAAGUUUCUGCCCUAUCAGCUUUCGAUGGUAGUGUAUUGGACUACCAUGGCAGUAACGGGUAACGAAGAAUUAGGGUUCGAUUUCGGAGAGGGAGCAUGAGAAACGGCUACCACAUCUAAGGGAGGCAGCAGGCGCGUAAAUUACCCAAUCCUGACUCAGGGAGGUAGUGACAAGAAAUAGCAAACCGGGAACCUCAUGGUUUCACGGUAUUGCAAUGAGAACAAUUUAAAACCCUUAGCGAGAAUCAAGUGGAGGACAAGUCUGGUGCCAGCACCCGCGGUAAUUCCAGCUCCACUAGCGUAUAUUAAAGUUGUUGCAGUUAAAAAGCUCGUAGUUGAACCUCUGUCUGGGGCUAGUUUUGGCUUUGGUCAGGCUAGUUCUAGGCAUCCGCCUACAAGACUUAGAGGGCAUUCAGUUGUUCACUAGGAGGAGUAGGCAUUUUACUUUGAAAAAAUUAGAGUGUUUAAGGCAGGCAAUCGCCCGCAUAUAUUAGCAUGGAAUAAUAGAAUAGGACACUUUUCCAUUUCGUUGGUUAUUGGAAUCGUGUAAUGAUUAAUAGGGACAGUUGUGGGCAUUUGUAUUUAAUUGUCAGAGGUGAAAUUCUUGGAUUUAUUAAAGACAAACUAACGCGAAAGCAUUUGCCAAGGAUGUUUUCAUUAAUCAAGAACGAAAGUUAGGGGAUCAAAGACGAUCAGAUACCGUCCUAGUCUUAACUAUAAACUAUUCCGACUCAAUGUUUGACUGGCUUAUAUAACCAGUUGAGCGUUGUAUGGGAAAUCAAAGUCUUUAGGUUCUGGGGGGAGUAUGGUUGCAAAGCUGAAACUUAAAGGAAUUGACGGAAGAGCACAACCAGGAGUGGAUUCUGCGGCUUAAUUUGACUCAACACGGGGAAACUUACCAGGUUAAAACAAUAGUGGGAUUGACAGUUUGAGAGCGCUUUCUUGAUUGGUUGGGUGGUGGUGCAUGGCC